AGCAGCCGCGGUAAUUCCAGCUCCAAUAGCGUAUAUUAAAGUUGUUGCAGUUAAAAAGCUCGUAGUUGAAUUUCGGGAUUAAUAUGUUGGUCGUGCCUUGGUACGUACUGGCAUUAUUGAUUCCUACCUUCUGAAGAACCUCGAUGUCAUUAAUUUGGUGUCUUGGGGAAUCAGGACCGUUACUUUGAAAAAAUUAGAGUGUUUAAAGCAGGCUCGCGCUUGAAUACAUUAGCAUGGAAUAAUGAAAUAGGACGUUUGAUUCUAUUUUGUUGGUUUCUAGGAUCGACGUAAUGAUUAAUAGGGAUAGUUGGGGGCAUUAGUAUUCAAUUGUCAGAGGUGAAAUUCUUGGAUUUAUUGAAGACUGCCUACUGCGAAAGCAUUUGCCAAGGAUGUUUUCAUUAAUCAAGAACGAAAGUUAGGGGAUCGAAGACGAUCAGAUACCGUCGUAGUCUUAACCAUAAACUAUGCCGACUAGGGAUCGGAUGAUGUUAAUUUUUUAAUGACUCAUUCGGCGCCUUAC
rnacentral:misc_RNA from 1 species